GUAACCUGCAUUCUGGUCAUGUCCUGUCUAAUCACCUCUCCCCAAUGCUUCUUAGGCCUCCCUCUCCCUCGCCGACCACCAACAAUCUCCAGCCGCUGACAAGUGAAAUAUUAUUCACAAGAAAAUAGGAAUGAUAAGGUGGUGCACCACUGGUAGAGCAAACAUAAAUUUUAAUCUGAAGACGACCUCGAUCUGGCAUUGAAAGAGUAUAAACCUAACAAUAGCUAAUCCAAGUUACUCUGGGGAGUUGACUCUAGAAUAUAAAGAGCCACUUUUAAAGAUACACAAGCUGUUCAAUGCAAUGGUUGUUGUCAU
rnacentral:lncRNA from 1 species